rnacentral:rRNA from 1 species
UACGUAGGGUGCGAGCGUUAAUCGGAAUUACUGGGCGUAAAGCGUGCGCAGGCGGUUCGCUAAGACCGAUGUGAAAUCCCCGGGCUUAACCUGGGAACUGCAUUGGUGACUGGCAGGCUUUGAGUGUGGCAGAGGGAGGUAGAAUUCCACGUGUAGCAGUGAAAUGCGUAGAGAUGUGGAGGAAUACCGAUGGCGAAGGCAGCCUCCUGGGCCAACACUGACGCUCAUGCACGAAAGCGUGGGGAGCAAACAGG